GACGAACGCUGGCGGCGUGCUUAACACAUGCAAGUCGAACGAAGUGGCGAACGGGUGAGACAUACGUGGGUAACCUGCCCUCCUUUGUGGGAUAAGCCUUGGAAACGGGGUCUAAUACCGAAUAAAGGGGGAUGGGCUCGCGGCCUAUCAGCUUGUUGGUGGGGUGAUGGACUACCAAGGCGGUGACGGGUAGCCGGCCUUCGAGGGUGACGGGCCACAGUGGGACUGGGAUACGGGCCGGACUCGUACGGGAGGGAACAGUCGGGGAUUGUUCUAAAUUGGCGAAAGCCCGAUGCCGGGACGCUGCGCGGGGGAUGUCGUCGUCCGCGUCGGAAAUCUAUUUCGCUCACGGACUGGUAGGUGGCCAGCAAGCCCCGGCUAACCACGCGGCAGCCGCCGCGGUAAUUC
rnacentral:rRNA from 1 species